rnacentral:rRNA from 1 species
UACGUAGGUGGCGAGCGUUGUCCGGAAUUAUUGGGCGUAAAGGGCACGCAGGCGGCAUCUUAAGUCAGAUGUGAAAACCCGGGGCUUAACUUCGGGAUUGCAUUUGAAACUGGGGAGCUAGAGUGCAGGAGAGGAAAGCGGAAUUCCUAGUGUAGCGGUGAAAUGCGUAGAUAUUAGGAGGAACACCAGUGGCGAAGGCGGCUUUCUGGACUGUAACUGACGCUGAGGUGCGAAAGCGUGGGGAGCAAACAGG